rnacentral:lncRNA from 10 species
GCAAGGUCCCCUCAGAAUUGGCCUGGGGGGUUCUAGUGAGAUUUCUUCCCAUGCGGAGACUAAGACCACAGGUCACCCUCAGCUCCUACUCACCCUCAGUCCAACCCAGAACACCCCACCGUUGGCCCCAUCUCUGAGCUUUGGGCACUCCAGAGAACAAUGUAUUGGCUUCCUCAGUGAUGUGGCUUCUUCCACGGGAGAGCACUGAACUGUGAGCCACAGUGGCCCCAUCUGGUGGCUGUCCUGCCUACUUCCCAGCCUCGUGAUCUUGGGCAAGUCAAUUCCCAUCUCUGAGCCUCAAUUUCCUCAUCCCUCUCCUGGGCUGUGGUGGAGAUGACAGGGUCCAGUGGUCAGGAAGCAGGCUGACGGCUGCAAAAUAAUUUUGGCCAGAAACAAGAGGAGUCCUGUCCGAGGAGAGCCCGGCUGGCUGACUGGAAUCCCAAGACAUGCCAAGGUCCCUGGGAAAUGACAGGACACCCAGAUCUGCUGGGAGCAGAGUUCUCAUAGGGUCCCAGCUGAGCCCUGGAACUCCCCAGACCCCCUCUGCCACUCCAUCUCUGCGUCAGCCCAGCACCUGUGCCCUAUCCGGCUUUGGCCACCAUCUCCACCCUGGGGAGGGGGAGCAUAACCCCCUCCAGCCUGAGGUUGGCGCCAAGGUUUAGGAGCCAGCACAGAAGCCUCUGAGAGCCAUAAGGGUAGAAAAGGUUACCCGGUACUAAACCAGCCAGCCUCGGGGUGAUCUCAUCCACUUCCCAAGAUAAGCCCCCUCCCCCACCCUCUGGCCACUGGCCAACAGGAGACAGGUCUCUAUUGCUCAGGCUGGAGUGCAGUGGCAUGAUCAUAGCUCACUGUAACCUCAAACUCCUGGGUUCAAGCGAUCCUUCUGCCUCAGCCUCCCAAGUGGCUGGAACUACAGGGGUGUGCGACCACUCCUGGCUCAUUUUGUUCAACAUUAUUUUGUUACAACAUUGAUGAAGAAAAAAAUCUAUUUCUGGCUGGGGCUACUGUCUGUGUGGAGUCUGUAGAGGACUUUCUCUGGGUACUCUGGUUUCUUCCCCCAUCCCAAAGAUGUGCAUGUUAGAUUAACUAGCUUGUCUGCAUGCUCCCAGUCUGCAUGAGUGUGAGUGUACUCAAGGCAAUGGCAUCCUGUCUAGGCCUGGUUCCCGCCUGGCGCCCUGAGCUGCUGGGAUAGGCUCCAGCCAUCCAUGACCUUGAACUGGAAUAACUGGAUAAAUAAUUCUAUUACUUGUUUUUAUUAAUCUUUCUUUCUUUCUUUUUUUUUUUUUUUUUUGAGAUGGAGUUUCACUCUUGUUGCCCACGCUGGAGUGCAAUGACACAAUCUUGGCUCACUGCAACCUCCGCCUCCUGGAUUCAAGAAAUUCUCCUGCCUCAGCCUCCUGAGCAGCUGGGAUUACAGGUGCCCACCACCAAGCCCGGCUAAUUUUUGUAUUUUUAGGAGAGACAGGGUUUCGCCAUGUUGGCCAGGCUGGUCUCAAAUCCCUGACCUCAGGUGAUCCACCUUCCCCAGCCUCCCAAAGUGCUGGGAUUACAGGUGUGAGCCACCACACCUGGCCUUGUUUCUAUUAGUCUUUCUUACACGUGUUUCAAUGUUUAAUAUGAGAAGCAUUUGGGUCUUUAUUUAGAAGUCUGAUGAUAUUUCUAUCACCAGAAAUAUGCUGUAGGAACUUAACUCUUGUUUAUGUCAAUUAGCCUAUGACAAAAUUGGUUUCCUUGUAUGUCAUUUUGCUUAAAGCUGCAAUUUCCAAGAACUACAUUAAGUGAGGACAUUAUAUAAAGACUUACUAUAUUCUAUUAGUUGUUGUCAGGCCUCUGAGCUCAAGCUAAGCCAUCAUAUCCCUUGUGACCUGCACCUAUACAUCCAGAUGGCCUGGAGCAACUGAAGAUCCAC